GACGAACGCUGGCGGCGUGCUUAACACAUGCAAGUCGAGCGGAGCGGCGAACGGGUGAGUAACGCGUGAGUAACUGCCCCCCUCUCUGGGAUAACAGUUGGAAACGGCUGCUAAUACUGGAACGUGGGGGAUGACGCGCGUCCUAUCAGCUUGUUGGUGGGGUAGUGGCGUACCAAAGCGACGACGGGUAGCCGGCCUGAGAGGGCGACCGGCCACAGUGGGCUGGGAUACGGGCCGAACGCCUACGGGAGGCAGCAGUGGGGAAUAGUGCGCGAUGGGGGAAACCCUGAUGCAGCAACGCCGCGUGCGGGAUGACGGCCUUCGGGUUGUAAACCGCUUUCAGCCAUGACGCGGUAGUGGCAGAAGAAGCACCGGCUAACUACGUGCCAGCAGCCGCGGUAAUUC
rnacentral:rRNA from 1 species